rnacentral:rRNA from 1 species
AGUGAACGCUGGCGGCAGGCCUAACACAUGCAAGUCGAACGGCAGCACAGUAAGAGCUUGCUCUUAUGGGUGGCGAGUGGCGGACGGGUGAGGAAUACAUCGGAAUCUACUCUUUCGUGGGGGAUAACGGAGGGAAACUUACGCUAAUACCGCAUACGACCUACGGGUGAAAGCGGAGGACCUUCGGGCUUCGCGCGAUUGAAUGAUCCGAUGUCGGAUUAGCUAGUUGGCGGGGUAAAGGCCCACCAAGGCGACGAUCCGUAGCUGGUCUGAGAGGAUGAUCAGCCACACUGGAACUGAGACACGGUCCAGACUCCUACGGGAGGCAGCAGUGGGGAAUAUUGGACAAUGGGCGCAAGCCUGAUCCAGCCAUGCCGCGUGGGUGAAGAAGGCCUUCGGGUUGUAAAGCCCUUUUGUUGGGAAAGAAAAGCAGUCGGUUAAUACCCGAUUGUUCUGACGGUACCCAAAGAAUAAGCACCGGCUAACUUCGUGCCAGCCGCCGCAGUAAUAC